AGAGAAUAGAUACCCGGGUAGUCCACGCCCUAAACGAUGUCGACUGGUUGUUGGGGGUUUGACACUCUCAGUAAACGAAAGCUAAACACGUGAAGUCGACCGCCUGGGGAGUACGGCCGCAAGGUUAAAACUCAAAGGAAUUGACGGGGACCCGCACAAGCGGUGGAUUAUGUGGAUUAAUUCGAUGCAACGCGAAAAACCUUACCUACCCUUGACAUGUCCGGGAGCCUGCUGAGAGGCGGGUGUGCUCGAAAGAGAACCGGAACACAGGUGCUGCAUGGCUGUCGUCAGCUCGUGUCGUGAGAUGUUGGGUUAAGUCCCGCAACGAGCGCAACCCUUGCCAUUAGUUGCCACCCGUAAGGGGGCACUCUAAUGGGACUGCCGGUGACAAACCGGAGGAAGGUGGGGAUGACGUCAAGUCCUCAUGGCCCUUAUGGGUAGGGCUUCACACGUAAUACAAUGGCGCGUACAGAGGGUUGCCAAGGAGCGAUCUGGAGCCAAUCCCGUAAAGCGCGUCGUAGUCCGGAUUGCAGUCUGCAACUCG
rnacentral:rRNA from 1 species